UUAGUGAGAAGCUUAGUUGUUCUUAAGACUCUGCUUAUUCCCCAGCCACAGUCAGCAUGGAUGCUGACUGAGUUGCAAACAGCCACGGAGGGCUGGUUUUGCAACGGUGGCGUACCAUUUCAGUACAUAAAUCAGAGUCCUUAGAGCACCUUGCUUCGAGCAAC
rfam:Firmicutes bacterium CAG:882 genomic scaffold, scf316